rnacentral:ncRNA from 1 species
GACCCGAAAGAUGGUGAGCCAUGCUUGCGAAGAUUGAAGCCAGAGGUAACUCUAGUGGAAGGCCGUAGUGAUUCUCACGUGCAAAUAAAUCGUAUAACGUAUGUUGGCGAAAGACUAAUCGAACCCGUUAGUGGUUGA